CAUCAUCGGUUCCGCCCGUUGAACAACCAUCGCGUUCAGCUAAUCUCCACACUAAUGACCCCUGCCUUCCCCAGAGUCGGCUAACAUACCAACUGAUCCACCUAGGAACUAAGACCCAGAGGGCCCCUCCUUUCUCUUCCGCUGCAACAGAGCCCUCCGUUCUUUGUAAAAUUCCAUUUCACCCUCCGAAUUCGGGAGGCAAGCAAGCGGUGGCGGGAGAGAAUGGCGAAUAACGGAGAGAUAUUACUGCUAGAAGCACCUCCUGAAGCGUCCCGGCCGGCCUGGCCCGGCGUUUCGAAAGAAGAAAUCAUCGACGCACUUCCUUACAUUGACGAUGACUACGACGCCAUGAAGAAAGAAGUCAACAGGUUGGUCGAAGAAGAGAUGCGACGGAGCACCAAGAAGCCAGCUGAUUUCCUCAAAGAUCUCCCUUCCGUUCCCAUGUUGAACUUCGAGAAUCACCCUAUGCUUGCUAGAGAAUAUGAACGUGUUAGAGCUGCCAAGCCUCCUGCAACCCUAGAGAUGUCUCGUUAUGGACUAGAGCCACCUCCUGUAAAUAAACGCAAUGAUGUUGAAGCUUGGAAACCUGUUGUUGGAAAUGCUCGAGGUUUGCUGCAACACCAAAUACUGAGACUUGAAAAUUUGGAGCUGAUGUCAAAGCAUGGUGCUGAUGUGUGGAAACUUUACAACCAACAGUUGGAGGCAUUCUUGUCCAGGAUGAAAGCAACCACUCAGCAAUAUGAAGAUAGAAUUGAAAUUGUGAAUCGAGAACGGAACUAUCAUCAACAAAACACUGCAGUCGAGCUUAAUGCCUUGUCUACACAAUGGAAGGAACUCUGUAAGAAAAACAUAGAGAUUCAAGCAGCAUGUGUUAGUAUUGAAAAUCAGAUCGAAGAACUAAAGAGAGAAGCUGUAGAGAGGUGAGGCUGGAACUUGGAGGCUAACAUGGAGAUUGAUUCUUUGAUGCAUCCAGAACAAUAAGGAGUUGGUAGUCUAUACACUAAUUGUGUUCGGAUUCCUUUGGAAGACCAGAUUUAAAGCUGAAUGUUACCACAACAAAAGGAGAGGCGGGACAACCUUAACAAAAUGUGACAUUGGUGGUGCAUUGUUGGUCGAACUAGGAAUUGCUAUCCUUCUGAGAUCUUACCCUUUCUCAGUUGUUGACGACACGAGUUCCCUUCCUCUUCGUAUUUCGUUGUGAUAGACUGGCAUUUGUGGAGUUCACUCCCUUGGUUUACGUCUUAAUGGUAGAUAAAAUUCCGGUACCCCAAUAUAUUGACUGAUAAGGGAAAAACUGUGGUAACGCUCAAGUUUAACCUAAUGCAGAAGCACAUCUGUUUGCAACUGUAAGGGUCUCUGAUUGUUUAUUUCUAUUCCUUUAGUUUUGGUCUUUUUGAUAGUCGAGGGCCUCUUUGAAUUUGUUCUAGUUAUUUUUGUAUUUCUUUUGUUUGUGGCACGCCAUACAUUUGAAAUUUUAAAUAGAGAAUAGAAGACUUACUGAUCAAAGGCUAA